rnacentral:tRNA from 1 species
UGGAAUAGCUCAGCUGGUAGAGCAACGCCCUCGUAACGCGUAGGUCGCAGGUUCGAAUCCUGUUUCCAG